rnacentral:lncRNA from 1 species
AUGGCGACGCGGGGCCAUGUGCAGGACCCUAACGACAGGCGCCUCCGGCCCAUUUACGAUUAUCUUGAUAAUGGUAAUAAUAAAAUGGCAAUUCAGCAAGCAGAUAAAUUAUUGAAGAAGCAUAAGGAUCUUCAUUGUGCUAAGGUUUUAAAGGCAAUUGGUUUACAGAGAACUGGAAAGCAAGAAGAAGCCUUUACUUUAGCACAGGAGGUGGCGGCCCUGGAACCCACAGAUGACAAUUCACUGCAGGCGCUCACUAUUCUCUACCGGGAGAUGCAUCGGCCGGAAUUAGUUACGAAACUUUAUGAAGCGGCUGUGAAGAAAGUUCCCAACAGUGAGGAGUAUCACUCUCACCUCUUCAUGGCCUAUGCCAGAGUGGGUGAAUACAAGAAAAUGCAACAGGCUGGCAUGGCUCUGUAUAAGAUUGUCCCCAAAAAUCCUUACUAUUUUUGGUCUGUGAUGAGCUUAAUUAUGCAAUCAAUAUCAGCACAGGAUGAAAACCUCUCAAAAACAAUGUUUCUGCCUCUUGCUGAGAGAAUGGUCGAAAAAAUGGUGAAAGAGGACAAGAUAGAAGCUGAGGCCGAAGUUGAACUUUAUUAUAUGAUCCUGGAACGAUUGGGAAAGUACCAGGAGGCCUUGGAUGUCAUUAGAGGGAAAUUAGGAGAAAAGCUGACAAGUGAGAUUCAGAGUCGGGAAAAUAAAUGCAUGGCUAUGUACAAGAAGCUAAGCAGGUGGCCGGAAUGCAAUGCCCUUUCUCGGCGCCUCUUACUGAAAAAGUGAGUAGAUGCUGCUUUUGGGCUGUGAGAUUGUAAUGAGGCUUUAGGGCUCACUAUUGGCAUUGUUUGUAUAUUUUUAAAUUUCUAGGGAUAGAAUAUUCUUUUUAUUAGUUGUGUCCUAAUGUUUUUUAGAAGUUUUCUGUAAGCCUUCAUCUUUCAGCAGAGGAAUAAUGGUACCACCAUGGUGCUAAUAUUAGUUCUUUAGAAUGAUUAGUUUUUCAAAUUCAAUAUUGGUCUAAAUGAAAUAGGCUUCCUUCCUGCUUGUAUCAUCUCCUGUUUAGGAAGCGUUUAUUUGGGGAGUUUUCAUUUAAGAAUAUUAGUUUUCUAGACCUGGUCUUAUUGAGGGAAUUUUGUGAAAGAGGUAAUUUAUAUGUCUCACUGCC